rnacentral:rRNA from 1 species
UACGGAGGGGGCAAGCGUUGUUCGGAAUUACUGGGCGUAAAGGGCGCGCAGGCGGCUGCUCAAGUCAGGCGUGAAAGGCCUGGGCUCAACCCGGGAAUUGCGCUUGAGACUGGGCUGGCUUGAGUGCGGGAGAGGAUGGUGGAAUUCCUGGUGUAGCGGUGAAAUGCGCAGAUAUCAGGAGGAACACCAAUUGCGAAGGCAGCUCGCUGGGACGUAACUGACGCUGAGACGCGAAAGCGUGGGGAGCAAACAGG